rnacentral:lncRNA from 1 species
GCAGAUUAAAGCUCUUGAAUCUAUGAUGGGGGAUGAAAAGAUUGUCAAGGCUGAUGAAGAAACAGAAUCACAAAGGCUGGAUGCUGAUGAAGAAACUGUAACAAGGGAAUUUCUCCAGAUGUUAGAGGAUGAAGGAAGCAAUGAAUUUAAAGAUAUUCCACAUUUUCAACUCGACAAAGCUGAGGAUGAUACCGCUGGUGAUUCUGAUUCUAAAGUUUAUCUCCCUGAUCUAGGAAAGGGGCUAGGCUGUGUGGUUCAAACAAGAGAUGGAGGCUACUUAGCUGCUGUGAAUCCAUUGGAUUCCUUGGUUGCUAGAAAAGACAUGCC